UAAAAAGCCGCCCUUCCUUGCCCGGGAGGAGCCUCCCUGCCCUGACGGCUGCCCGCAGAGCCGAGAGGGAAGCUCCAGGGGGCAGGCCAGGCGGGCGGCCUCCGGAGGUGCCUCGGGGCGGCAGGACAGGGCUGGGGUCCACCUCUGGCCCCCCGGAGGCAGCGAUGGUGGCCACGGCCAAGCCCGGGCCUGGGCAAUAUCAGACCUCAGCACGAGGGAGGCACGGGCAGCCCCCGCCACCCAGAAGAGCGGCUGCCACGCGAGCCCAGGGGAUGACGGAGCCCCCUCCUCCAGGUGGGGCAUAUCUACACCCGGUUCCGGCUGCGUGAGCCACGUCUUGCACUGGGCACUGCUGCCCCUGGAGCUGCCUUAGUCGUCAUUACAAAUGCAGAAACGGAGUC